CAGCCCUUGACAUGUCCUCUAUGGAUUCCAGAGACGGAGUCCUUCACUUCGGGUGGGAGGAACACAGGUGCUGCAUGGCUGUCGUCAGCUCGUGUCGUGAGAUGUUGGGUUAAGUCCCGCAACGAGCGCAACCCUCGCCCUUAGUUGCCAUCAUUUAGUUGGGCACUCUAAGGGGACUGCCGGUGAUAAGCCGGAGGAAGGUGGGGAUGACGUCAAGUCCUCAUGGCCCUUACGGGCUGGGCUACACACGUGCUACAAUGGCGGUGACAGAGGGAUGCAAAGGGGCGACCCUUCGCAAAUCUCAAAAAUCCGUCUCAGUUCGGAUUGGGGUCUGCAACUCGACCCCAUGAAGUUGGAAUCGCUAGUAAUCGCAGAUCAGCACGCUGCGGUGAAUACGUUCCCGGGCCUUGUACACACCGCCCGUCACACCAUGGGAGUUGGCUUUACCUGAAGACGGUGCGCUAACCGCAAGGAAGCAGCCGGCCACGGUAGGGUCAGCGACUGGGGUG
rnacentral:rRNA from 1 species